rnacentral:rRNA from 1 species
CACUGGUCGAGUCGGCCUGCGCGGAAGAUGUAACGGGGCUAAACCAUGCACCGAAGCUGCGGCAGCGACACUAUGUGUUGUUGGGUAGGGGAGCGUUCUGUAAGCCUGCGAAGGUGGCCUGUGAGGGUUGCUGGAGGUAUCAGAAGUGCGAAUGCUGACAUAAGUAACGAUAAAGCGGGUGAAAAGCCCGCUCGCCGGAAGAC